CGGAGGCGCAGCUCCGCCGUUCUGCCCUCCGUCUCCACCGAGGCCCAGACCGUGGCAUUCGCCGCCCCCUGCUCCGGGACGCCGACGUGCAGAGCAACAGGAGGAGGUGCGAGGCUUCCUAGCUGUAGUCCCGCCGGUCCAGCAGCUUCUCCCUCACAUCCCUUGCAGCUACCUUGGAGGGGCAACAGUUUCCAGACUGAAAGAUUGAGCGGGAGGAGCUGUUCUGCGUGCUGAUGGUUGGUGAACAUGUUGCACAUGCCCUGCUGCUCAGGCAUUCCAGCUGCCUGGGACCUAGACGACGACCCAAGCCUGAUGCAGCUGCAUGUCUUUAUUGAGUGCAGUUCUGCCAUAGUGAGCCCAAGGAGGUCGUGAAGGCGAGGAUGGGGUGUAGGAACAACGAGUUGCUCCACCUGGACAACGCUACUGCUGCUACUGGUGACCACUCCAACCAGCCACCACUCUGAGCUGCUGCUGCUGGAACAAAGACGGUGGGAGGAGCUGCACCUCUUGCUAGUGGGUUGCGACCAAGCCAUGCUCUUGCUCGUGCCGGCCCCGGACAAAGACCACCGCCGCCGACACGCUGUAAGCACCCCUGCCCUGCUAGCGACAGGAUGGCCAAAGGACUGAAAAAAGAAAGAAAUUAUCCUGCUGUGUGUGAGCAACAGACUCCACAAGGAUUGAUCAGUAUGAGGUGUUCGCACAGAUUGGGAAAUGAGCAUGGACAAGUAAGAGGUGUUGGAGCGGAUUGCUAAAGGAGAAUUUGACUCUGCUCUGUAGUGAGGCACAAGGUAUGUGCUGAAGAAGAUCCAGCUUGCGCCACAAACUGACCGCAGUCACCGGUCUGCCUAGAAGGAGGUAAAUCAUCUUCUGCUUCAUGUUGACAUGCUACACUUUAUCUUUGGGGCCUAGUUAUGGUUUUAACAGGAACAUGUCGUGGUGGUUGUAGCGCCGGUGGCUCCAUUUUGGCAGGAAAGAUGGUGUCGGUAUCCUUCACCGCCGCCAAGUUCCUGGCGACGUCAGCUGUGUCGGUAUCCUUCACCUCAGCCGAAUUUAAGACACAUGUGCGGCAACUGGCUGACCAUUGCCUCAGCGUUGACACACAAGAAGAAGGGUUGACAAAGACCUACGCUGGACGUCAACAAGGACGUGCAGCCUACCCCAACUUGCUUGGGAAAAAGGCUUUGACAAUGUUGUUGUGGGCAGUGGUGGGUUCAGGAACGACGACUUGCUCCACUUGGACAACGCUGGGGACAAGAGCGGCCACGACAACUUGUAGUAAGGUUCACUGUCAUGUAUCUAAAGGUCUGCUCAUUUCUGCUGCAUUAGGCCAUGGAGCACCUCCUCCGCCGGCAGCAGCUUGUGGUGCGCUGGCUGCCAUGACGGAAACGGCAAGGAGCCAAGCAGCUGCAGCAGCCGAGGCACUGGAGAUGGAGGUCCUCCUCAAUGGCUUCAGUAUGCCCGUGUCGACCUCACAAGCCAUAGAGCUAUUUACGCAUGCAUUUGAGGAAUGCCAACUGCUGUAAUAACAAGUGUGCCCACAACAAUCAGGUAAAGAAGAAAAGGCUAAGAUGAUCUGAAGUAAGUAGUUUAGGUCCUCGUAAUGUUUUUGGCCUCUUUGGAGUUUGGCAUGUCCUCUAAAGCUGGCAUUGGCGGUGCCGCUGCUGGUGAUAUGCUGGCCGUGGCGUGUGUGUGAUACUGUCGUUUUCGUACUUGUAGGGUCGUCUUUGUAAUGCUCCUGGCCAGGGAGUUGUGGUGAUACUAAGUAGCUGGUCAUACUUUCGAGUCUUGUGGGUUUUUGUAUUUGAAAUGAUAUGAUUUGUGAUGUGUGCACAUUAUUGUUUGUUGUGUGUUGUGAAUGAUAAAAAAAGAUGAGAAGU